UGGGGAAUAUUGCACAAUGGGCGCAAGCCUGAUGCAGCCAUGCCGCGUGUAUGAAGAAGGCCUUCGGGUUGUAAAGUACUUUCAGUCGGGAGGAAGGGAGUAAAGUUAAUACCUUUGCUCAUUGACGUUACCCGCAGAAGAAGCACCGGCUAACUCCGUGCCAGCAGCCGCGGUAAUACGGAGGGUGCAAGCGUUAAUCGGAAUUACUGGGCGUAAAGCGCACGCAGGCGGUCUGUCAAGUCGGAUGUGAAAUCCCCGGGCUCAACCUGGGAACUGCAUUCGAAACUGGCAGGCUAGAGUCUUGUAGAGGGGGGUAGAAUUCCAGGUGUAGCGGUGAAAUGCGUAGAGAUCUGGAGGAAUACCGGUGGCGAAGGCGGCCCCCUGGACAAAGACUGACGCUCAGGUGCGAAAGCGUGGGGAGCAAACAGG
rnacentral:rRNA from 1 species